AGAGAAAGGCCCUAAUUAGGGGAAGCUCACAUGUGUGGGAACAGGAAGUCUUCUAUAAAGCCUGGGAGUGGAGCAUAGAAGAGAAAGCUGUGGGGAAGUACUUUGCAGUCACUUUCUAGGAGAAGGGUGGUGUGUUUGGGAUUAUAGACGCAAGCAGCCUAUAGUUACUGUGUGAAAGGAGGAAGUUUUGUGGUUGGUUAACUCAGAGAAUUAGAAGGUAAAGAAAGCCUCAGGGAAAAGUCAGUAAGGUAUGGGAUGGAACAGAUCUUGGUUGCUGACUAGAGGGUCCCUCAGCUGGAACCUGGAAUAGAGGGUGGGCCUGGGUUCCUCUAGUCUCCCAGCUACUGGGGAAGUGCCCCUAUAGGGACAGUGAAUGGAAUGGCUGCUUAAGACUGUUAGUAAGAAAAGACUUUGAUACCACAGAAGGGGGAAACAUGCAUAGUGACCUGACUGGAGGGCCAAAUCACAAUGAGGGAGCACACUAUUUUACUUUCCACAUAAAAUCAAAGGAAAAUCAAGAUCACUGGCAGUUAUGUUUGAUUAGAAACUUAUGAAAGAAGUAAGACCAGUAAAGCAGUGUGGAUACAGUGAAGCCUGAAUUCUGACUGUGGUCUUUGGAUGCUACUACUACACCAAUGUCAAAUAAUGGAAAACCAGGAAGCGAUACAGCAUCCUAUUCUAGUCUUGAGGAAGUUUUCCAGCCAUUCUUGACUGUAAUGAGGAGGAUGAGCCAAGAUCACAUGAAGAAGCAAUAUGCAAACUAUAUGGGGCUCCUAUUGUGGAAGCACUGCAAACUUAUUUAGCCAAGCAUGAUUCUGAAGCCUUUAAGGGGAGGACUUUAAUUUUUUUUCUUGGUUUAAGAAUUGGCAAAGCGACCUAAUUAUUAAAUUGCAUGCAAACAACUUCUGUGUUUUUAUAUUUACUAAGAGUUACAUGAAUGAUUAUGCAAAACAAAUCUGUCAUUAGUUGCUCUCUAUUUGCAUUUUGCCUGUUAAUAUGCUGCUGUUCAUACUAUGGCAGGGUAUAAUGAGCAAUUCUACUUCUGAAAUAAAAAUUCUAUAUGUGAAAUUACA